rnacentral:lncRNA from 1 species
CGAUCCCUCAUUGAAAGCCAAUAUGAUUGAACUGACACACAGGUUUUCCAUGCCAGAUGAAGCAGAUACCCUGACUAGUGUCCCUUCAGCCAUCCCUGACAGCAGCCACUCGUCUUGGCCACCAGCAACCUCAGAAACAGCAAGCCUUUGUUGUCAAUGUCCUUGUGUUUGUAGAUGACUUGGCCCACGCAAAGAUGAAACCCACGGAAAUCCGUAAGUUGCUGUGGAUGUUCCUCUGAAGACAGCACAGGUGUGCAGGAUGGUAUCGCAGAGAUGUAUUUUUUAAUGAAGAACUCUUGUUUUUUGAAAAGGUGGAGACCAGUGUAAUUCCACAACAUGGAAAAAGGCUCAGGGCAUUGUGAUGGUUACACUGCCAGUCCCCGGGAAGCUGCUGAGCUGAGCUGUGUGGCCGUGGUGCUGCUGGAUGCUGAAGGCAGAGCAGCCAUCACCGUCACAGAUCCCCAUCAGAUCUGGUGUAGCAUUUCUGGCUCCAGCACUAACCCAAGCGUCUGCCGGUUCUUAUCAGCAAGCCUUGCAGUUUGAUGUGAGUGGUUCAUAUCGCUGCUGGUUCCCUGGGACGUGAGCAGCUGCCAGAACCCCCUCUGGCUGCUGUCAGUCUGGCUGAAGACACCUUUGGAGGAGUGGCUCCAAGAGAAGAGAGAGCUGUCUCUGCAGAUACAGCAUUCGAUCUCCACCGAGCGAGGAAUCGUAUUUCCCCCACCCCUGCCCUCUGGGUAAGAAAAGGCAAACAUAUCAUAAAGGUACCGUAAUAAGUCUGCUAGAUAUGUCUUUGCAGCCUCUUUCUCCUCCCCAAACUGGAAUGUGCCUAAGCUCCUUCUGGUCUGCUU